AUUGAACGCUGGCGGCAGGCCUAACACAUGCAAGUCGAGCGGAUGAAGGGAGCUUGCUCCUGGAUUCAGCGGCGGACGGGUGAGUGAUGCCUAGGAAUCUGCCUGGUAGUGGGGGAUAACGUCCGGAAACGGGCGCUAAUACCGCAUACGUCCUGAGGGAGAAAGUGGGGGAUCUUCGGACCUCACGCUAUCAGAUGAGCCUAGGUCGGAUUAGCUAGUUGGUGGGGUAAAGGCCUACCAAGGCGACGAUCCGUAACUGGUCUGAGAGGAUGAUCAGUCACACUGGAACUGAGACACGGUCCAGACUCCUACGGGAGGCAGCAGUGGGGAAUAUUGGACAAUGGGCGAAAGCCUGAUCGAGCCAUGCCGCGUGUGUGAAGAAGGUCUUCGGAUUGUAAAGCACUUUAAGUUGGGAGGAAGGGCAGUAAGUUAAUACCUUGCUGUUUUGACGUUACCAACAGAAUAAGCACCGGCUAACUUCGUG
rnacentral:rRNA from 1 species